UACGUAGGGUGCAAGCGUUAAUCGGAAUUACUGGGCGUAAAGCGUGCGUAGGCGGCUAUGUAAGUCAGAUGUGAAAUCCCCGGGCUCAACCUGGGAACUGCAUUUGAGACUGCAUGGCUAGAGUACGGUAGAGGAGGAUGGAAUUCCGCGUGUAGCAGUGAAAUGCGUAGAUAUGCGGAGGAACACCGAUGGCGAAGGCGAUCCCCUGGACCUGUACUGACGCUCAUGCACGAAAGCGUGGGGAGCAAACAGG
rnacentral:rRNA from 1 species